ensembl:snRNA U2 U2 spliceosomal RNA
AUCACUUCUCGGCCUUUUGGCUAAGAUCAAGUGUAGUAUCAAGCAGAUGAAACACUUAAAAAAAUAGAUCAUCUAAGUUAUGAAAGUAUGCAUUUUUCUCCCUGCAGUACUUAAACUAUU